UACGAAGGGGGCUAGCGUUGUUCGGAAUUACUGGGCGUAAAGGGCGCGUAGGCGGUUUGUCAAGUCAGAUGUGAAAGCCCCGGGCUUAACCUGGGAACUGCGUUUGAAACUGGGAGACUUGAGUGUGGCAGAGGGGGGUGGAAUUCCACGUGUAGCAGUGAAAUGCGUAGAUAUGUGGAGGAACACCAAUGGCGAAGGCAGCCCCCUGGGUCAACACUGACGCUCAUGCACGAAAGCGUGGGGAGCAAACAGG
rnacentral:rRNA from 1 species